UUUAUGUAUUAUUGUUAUUUUGUUUAUUUUCUUUGGUAACAUCUUUUGACAUCAGACUCGGACUUCUCUUGGACUGAAUUUUAAUGUGCGUAUUGUUAUGCGUUUACUUUUCUACAUUGGCUAGAGGUAUAGGGGAAGGGUUGAGAUCUCACAAACAUGUUUAACCCCGCCGCAUUUUUGCGCCUGUCCCAAGUCAGGAGCCUCUGGCCUUUGUUAGUCUUGUAUUAUUUUAAUUUUAGUUUCUUGUGUACAAUUUGGAAAUUAGUAUGGCGUUCAUUAUCACUGAACUAGUAUAUAUUUGUUUAGGGGCCAGCUGAAGGACGCCUCUGGGUGCGGGAAUUUCUCGCUACAUUGAAGACCUUUGGUGACCUUCUGCUGUUGUUUUUUUUAAUGGUCGGGUUGUUGUCUCUUUGGCACAUUCCCCAUUUCCAUUCUCAAUUUUAUUGUU
rnacentral:lncRNA from 1 species